AGGAGGGCUCUUCCCACCCAGCAGCUUUGAGCCUGGCUGAGAUGGAGCUAGACUCAAGGAAGAACUUCCUGACAACAUUGGAGCCUGGCUUCAGAUGAGCAACUGAAGCCCAGAGAGAGUUGCGGACACACCCAAGUCACAGAGCAAAAUGGUGCUACCUCCUCAGGAGCUUUCUUAGCCCCUGCAGGCCAUGUCUAGUGUCCCCGUGCCCCCCAUCACUGCUGACCACUCUGGGUGACAUGGCCUGGCUUCAGGGCUGUGGUCUGUAGCUCAGUGAGGCGUCACUGGCACCAGAAACCUUCCGUGGACUGAAUAAACACAUUAUCUCCUC